GAUGAACGCUGGCGGCGUGCCUAAUACAUGCAAGUCGAACGCUUCACAUAUGUGAGGAGUGGCGAACGGGUGAGUAAUACAUAAGUAACCUGGCCUUUACAGGGGGAUAACUGUUGGAAACGAUAGCUAAGACCGCAUAGGUGUGAUAACCGCAUGGAGAUGACAUGAAAUAUGCUACGGCAUAGGUAGAGGAUGGACUUAUGGCGCAUUAGCUAGUUGGAGGGGUAACGGCCCACCAAGGCGACGAUGCGUAGCCGACCUGAGAGGGUGACCGGCCACACUGGGACUGAGACACGGCCCAGACUCCUACGGGAGGCAGCAGUAGGGAAUUUUCGGCAAUGGGGGAAACCCUGACCGAGCAACGCCGCGUGAAGGAAGAAGUAAUUCGUUAUGUAAACUUCUGUCAUAGAGGAAGAACGGUGCGUGUAGGGAAUGACAUGCAAGUGACGGUACUCUAUAAGAAAGCCACGGCUAACUACGUGCCAGCAGCCGCGGUAAUACGUAGGUGGCGAGCGUUAUCCGGAAUUAUUGGGCGUAAAGAGGGAGCAGGCGGCACUAAGGGUCUGUGGUGAAAGAUCGAAGCUUAACUUCGGUAAGCCAUGGAAACCGUAGAGCUAGAGUGUGUGAGAGGAUCGUGGAAUUCCAUGUGUAGCGGUGAAAUGCGUAGAUAUAUGGAGGAACACCAGUGGCGAAGGCGACGAUCUGGCGCAUAACUGACGCUCAGUCCCGAAAGCGUGGGGAGCAAAUAGGAUUAGAUACCCUAGUAGUCCACGCCGUAAACGAUAAAUGGUAAGUGUUGGGAGUCAAAUCUCAGUGCUGCAGUAACGCAAUAAGU
rnacentral:rRNA from 1 species